GUUAACGCUGGCGGCGUGCCUAACACAUGCAAGUCGAACGAGAUUUCCAGUUCGUAUCGGAAGUCUAGUGGCAGACGGGUGAGUAACACGUAAACAACCUGCCCUCAAAAGGGGGAUAACCUGACGAAAGUCGGACUAAUACCCCAUAUAAUCCCACCAAGGCAUUUUGGAGGGAUGAAAGGCCCGCAAGGGUCGAUUGAGGAGGGGUUUGCGGCCUAUCAGCUAGUUGGCGGUGUAACGGACCACCAAGGCAAUGACGGGUAGCCGAUCUAAAAGGAUGACCGGCCACAAGGGCACUGAGACACGGGCCCUACUCCUACGGGAGGCAGCAGUGGGGAAUUUUGGACAAUGGACGAAAGUCUGAUCCAGCGACGCCGCGUGGAGGACGAAGGUUUUCGGAUUGUAAACUCCUUUUACAGGGGACGAAAGCGGGCAACCGUUUGACAGUACUCUGUGAAUAAGCCACGGCUAACUACGU
rnacentral:rRNA from 1 species